rnacentral:rRNA from 1 species
ACGAGAAAGUGGAGCAAUCCAUGAGUACAGUGGCGUACGGGUGAGUAACACGUGACUAACCUACCCUCGAGUGGGGAAUAACCUCGGGAAACCGGGGCUAAUACCGCAUCAUAUCCCGAUGGCGCAAGCCGUUGGGAGCAAAGGCCCGCAAGGGCCGCUGGAGGAGGGGGCUGCGGCCGAUUAGCUAGUUGGUGAGGUAACGGCCCACCAAGGCGAUGAUCGGUAGCCGGCCUGAGAGGGCGCACGGCCACACUGGCACUGACACACGGGCCAGACUCCUACGGGAGGCAGCAGUGGGGAAUUUUGCACAAUGCCCGAAAGGGUGAUGCAGCAACGCCGCGUGAGGGAUGAAGGCCUUCGGG